GUCAACCACGACAAUCCCAAAUUUCUGGCGGUUUCCGAUUCAACCCCCUCAGCCGCCGGUCCUCACCUCUCCGGCGUACUUUCCGCCGCCACCUUGUCUCCCGCAACCCCGCCACGUCCUCCGCUCCGCCGUAACCUCCUCCCAUCCGCCCCCAGUUCCUCCCCUGCCCUCGUCCCCGCAUCUGAUCGACCGCCGCCCAGGAGCCAUGAAGUCGCGGCCGGCGGCGGCGACGGGAGCCACGGAGGGCCUUCUUUCCGCGGCACGCUACUAGUAGGGCCUCCUCGGAAUUGGGGACACCGGUGUUCGGUGCUCUUCACCUGGGCAGCUGCUGCUCACCGGCCUUCGCCGCCGAUGCUGAUUUCCUAUGUCCGGCAUCUUCGUGGAGGCGCCCGACAACAAGUAGGCCGUGGAGGCAGGGCCUUAUUUCCACGGCACGCUGCGAGGAGUGCCUCCUCGGAAUUGGGGAAGUCAGUGUUCGGUGCUCUUCACUUGGGCUGGGCAGCAGCUGCUCACCGGCCUAAGCUGAUUUCCUAUGGCCGGCGUCUCCGUGGCGGCGCCCGAGGGCAAGAAUGCCGUGGAGGCGAAUGGGUCCGAUGGCUGGGUGGGACGCGCCCAUUUCGUGCAAGACGGUGGGCGAGCUGCUCGCCCGCAAGGGCCACCGCGGCUACCUCAUCGCUGCCGCCGUACAGGAACUCGUCGACAUUGUCAUCUGAAGCUAGUGUUCUCAUCAUGAGCCACUCUCUACGGUUGGCAUAAGGAAGUGCCCUGCAACCCUUACAGAUAAACUAUGGUUCUACCAGCCAGCCACGUUGAUUAGAAAGAUCACUGCUGGGCUAUGGCUACGGGGUCAGUGACUCCUUCCCCUCCCUAUUGCAAACUCGUCACAGUGGCAACACAUUGACAUGAUGUCCCAUCAUCCACCUCAGUACUGGACUUCCUCGCGUUGUUUAUAGUUGAGGUCUGGGCGAUGUCUUUCUUCCACCAAGGUCCUCUUCUUCAAAGAACUCCAGCCGCGUUACAUUCAUCUUCUGGUAUGUGACAAUCUUCAAGGAGGAACAGUGCACGUGGCUUGAGAUGAGGCGGAAGGAACAUGUGUUUACUGCUGCCAUUGUGGCCUCCCCCCACCCUCACGCUCUCUGGAUCUGCAAGGAGAGUUGCUACUCAUGACGACGACAAGGAGUUUCUGUCCUGGCUUUUUGUGUUGUUUCAAAAUGCUUCCAAGAUUGAUGAUAGGUACCAUUGCAAUGGCGCACUAGGAAUUAUUGUAAUCCUUUAAAUUAAUGCAAUAGUGUUGUAGCUAUUGUUUCCUCUGUGAUCUGAGCUAAAUCCUAUGUUUGAAAUGUCAGAUUUGGUCUUGAUAUUUUUGUUGUGU